CAGUCGCCGCGGGAAAACGGAGGGGGCUAGCGUUGUUCGGAAUUACUGGGCGUAAAGCGCACGUAGGCUGCUUUGUAAGUUAGAGGUGAAAGCCUGGUGCUCAACACCAGAACUGCCUUUAAGACUGCAGAGCUAGAACGUCGGAGAGGUGAGUGGAAUUCCGAGUGUAGAGGUGAAAUUCGUAGAUAUUCGGAAGAACACCAGUGGCGAAGGCGGCUCACUGGACGACUGUUGACGCUGAGGUGCGAAAGCGUGGGGAGCAAACAGGAUUAGAUACCCGAGUAGUCCCUGUCUCUUAUAC
rnacentral:rRNA from 1 species